ensembl:misc_RNA Metazoa_SRP Metazoan signal recognition particle RNA
GCCAGGUGUGGUGGCGCACACCUGUGAUUCCAGCUACUCGGGAGGCUGAGGUGGGAGGAUCACUUGAGCCCAGGAGGCUACAGUGAGCCAUGAUGGAGCCACUGUACUCCAACCUGGGCAACAGAGAGAGACCCUGUCUCAA